rnacentral:rRNA from 1 species
UACGAAGGGGGCUAGCGUUGUUCGGAAUUACUGGGCGUGAAGCGUGCGCAGGCGGCUUCUCAAGUCAGGGGUGAAAGCCCAGAGCUCAACUCUGGAAUUGCCUUUGAGACUGAGUGGCUUGAGUACGAGAGAGGUGAGUGGAAUUCCCAGUGUAGAGGUGAAAUUCGUAGAUAUUGGGAAGAACACCGGUGGCGAAGGCGGCUUGCUGGACCUGGUCUGACGCUGAGGCGCGAAAGCGUGGGGAGCGAACAGG